rnacentral:rRNA from 1 species
GACGAACGCUGGCGGCGUGCUUAACACAUGCAAGUCGAACGAAGAGCGAUGGAAGCUUGCUUCUAUCAAUCUUAGUGGCGAACGGGUGAGUAACGCGUGAUCAACCUGCCCUUCAGAGGGGGACAACAGUUGGAAACGACUGCUAAUACCGCAUACGAUCUAAUCUCGGCAUCGAGGAUAGAUGAAAGGUGGCCUCUACAUGUAAGCUAUCACUGAAGGAGGGGAUUGCGUCUGAUUAGCUAGUUGGAGGGGUAACGGCCCACCAAGGCGAUGAUCAGUAGCCGGUCUGAGAGGAUGAACGGCCACAUUGGGACUGAGACACGGCCCAGACUCCUACGGGAGGCAGCAGUGGGGAAUCUUCCGCAAUGGACGAAAGUCUGACGGAGCAACGCCGCGUGAGUGAUGACGGCCUUCGGGUUGUAAAGCUCUGUUAAUCGGGACGAAAGGCCUUCUUGCGAAUAGUGAGAAGGAUUGACGGUACCGGAAUAGAAAGCCACGGCUAACUACGUG